CUGUUUAUUAUACCUUGUUGCUUCGGCGGGUCCGCCGUAUGGCUGCCGGGGGGCUUCUGCCCCCGGGCCCGCGCCCGCCGAAGACAUCUCGGACUCUGUCUGAAGAUUGUAGUCUGAGUAAACAUAUAAAUUAUUUAAAACUUUCAACAACGGAUCUCUUGGUUUCGGCAUCGAUGAAGAACGCAGGGAAAUGCGAUACGUAAUGUGAAUUGCAGAAUUCAGUGAAUCAUCGAGUCUUUGAAUGCACAUUGCGCCCUCUGGUAUUCCGGAGGGCAUGCCUGUCCGAGCGUCAUUGCUGCCCUCAAGCACGGAUUGUGUGUUGGGCUCCGUCCCCCGAUCCCGGGGGACGGGCCCGAAAGGCAGCGGCGGCACCGCGUUCGGUCCUCGAGCGUAUGGGGCUUUGUCACCCGCUCUGUAGGCCCGGCCGGCGCCUGCCGAUCAACCAAAUUUUUAUCCAGGUUGACCUCGGAUCAGGUAGGGAUACCCGCUGAACUUAAGCAUAUCAAUAA
rnacentral:sRNA from 1 species